rnacentral:tRNA from 1 species
GCGGGUGUAGCUCAGUUGGCAGAGCGUUUGCUUCCCAAGCAAAAUGUCACGGGUUCGAAUCCCGUCACCCGCU